UCCAACUCGAGAAAGAGAGAGAGAGAGAGAGACGGCACAAGCGAUGGCUUCCAUGGCAGGCUUACGCGGCUUGUCCCAGGCAUUGCUCGAAGGGAACCUUCAGCUCGGCGGCUCAAGCAGGCUCGCCGUUCCCCGCGGCAACCGCGUGGCCGUCGCCCGGCCCGGGCUUGCCGUCCGAGCCCAGCAGCAGGCUGCGACCGAGGGUGAUUCCUCCGCCGCCCAUAGCAGCCGCCGCGCUGUGCUUGGUAUCGUGGCCACCGGGCUCGCCGGCGGAUCCUUCGUCAAGGCCGUGCUCGCCGAUGCCAAAUCCAUCAAGGUCGGCCCGCCUCCCCCGCCCUCCGGCGGCCUCCCUGGGACCUUAAAUUCCGAUCAGCCAAGAGAUCUUCAGCUUCCACUGAAGCAGAGAUUCUAUCUGCAACCACUACCUCCGUCGGAAGCUGCAGCGAGGGCGAAGGAGUCAGCCAAGGACAUUCUAAAUGUGAAGCAGCUGAUUGAUAAGAAGGAAUGGCCGUAUGUUAUGAAUGACCUCCGCCUCAAGGCAGGAUACCUCCGUUUCGACCUCAAUACCAUCAUCUCCGCUAAACCAAAGGAGGAGAAGAAGACACUUAAGGAACUCACUGGAAAGUUGUUUGCUGCAAUUGAUGAGCUUGAUCAUGCUGCAAAGAUCAAGAGCACCCCACAAGCUGAAAAGUACUAUGCAACAACCAAAUCUCUCCUCGAUGAUGUUCUUGCAAAGAUAGGCUAGAGGGUCGAUGUCUGAACCAUUCUUUGGAAUUCUUAUCUCAAGAGAGAUAUCAUCAGUGAUGUAAGCUUCCAUCUUUGUCCAGUUUGCAUCUUCGGGCAGCUCGAGACGCCUAGCAAAUCCAUACUCCCACCAGCGGCCAUUUUUCCAGUCCUUUGUAUCAGUUUCUCGCCCUCUCCACCGCCCACUGAUCUCGACCACCAUUUCCUUCAGGUAGUCUGCAUUCGUUGCGGACCAGUCAACAGUGCUCUUGGAGGCGUUCCGAAGUCCCGAGAGCAACGCGUCCGAUUCGAACUCCCAUAGAGGGAAGGCAUCAGCCGGAUCAAAGAACUUCCCGAACAGUAGCGGGCUGAAGAGUGAUCCUUCACCGAAGACAUUUCGCGCAGCAACCCCGCCGUGGACGAUGAAAGAAUGGAAGGCGUCUUCAGUGAAAGGGACUCUCCAUUUAUGAGAGUUCUGAUCGGCUGGUCCGAUCUCUAUCACCCUUCGCGCUGGCAUUUGCGAAUCUGUGUUUAGGGGAGAUGACCACGUUGUCUCUCCUUUUAUAAGAGAUUAAGCUGCCUCUUAGGAAAGCAGAGGUCAGAUUCCUCCUGAAUUGCUUCAGGGAAAGCUGCUGCUUCUUUCUGUGCCAUGCUUAUCCACCAUAACUUUCACAUGCACCAAAUGCAGAGGUUAGAUUCUGAGACAAAUCUGCAGGCUUUCACGUACACUUUCUCAUUUGGUUGGGUGACUUUGAGCUCUUUGGUGGUAGCACACGACCGGCAGUCAGAGGUGGCUAUGAUGCUUGAUUCCGGGAUGCCAUCUGAAAGAGAGGAAGUGGGAAUUAGCGGCUACCAUGAAAGGUCAUGUUAGUGUCAUGAAUAAUCAUCAACAUGACGAAGUUGAUUCGACUUUGUACAUUUUCCGAAUGUUAUCAUGUUUGAAAGCUGAUACCCCUUUGAGAUGCCGGAGCUUAUGCUCAGCCGCAUCUCACUCCUUGGCAGCAGAAUUCUGUAAAACUAUGUUGGAGGAAGCUCAGAAAACCCCUAUUUGAUGCUGAAGUCGACAGAAAGCUCAAGAUAUCGAGUAUAGUUAGGAGAGUUACAGAGGGAGUGUAUAUCUAGAGAGGCCGCUGUACACCUGUAUCAAUAGAGAAUCUUUCAUUUUGGAUAUCAUAAUAAUUGGACACACUUUAAGUGAUAUCAUAUUAUCAUCGUAUUGAUUGGACAGGCCUAGGUGGCACCAUAUCAUUAUCAUGCCAACUAGGCUUUUACCGCCAACUAAGCAACAUGUAUUGAACUUUGAUUGUUACUUAUGGUUUAAUUGGAUGUCAUGCAUUGUGUUA